rnacentral:pre_miRNA from 1 species
UUUUAUGGAUGAGCAAAGAAAGUGGUUUCUUGAGAUGGAAUGUAUUUCUGGUGAAGAUGAUGUGAA